GUGCUUGCUUCAGCAGCACGUGUACUAAAAUCAGAACGAUGCAGAGAAGAUUAGCAUGGCCUCUGUGCAAGGAUGACAUGCCGAUUCCUGAAGCCUUCCAUAUUUUU